AUUGAACGCUGGCGGCAGGCCUAACACAUGCAAGUCGAGCGGAUGAAGGGAGCUUGCUCCUGGAUUCAGCGGCGGACGGGUGAGUAAUGCCUAGGAAUCUGCCUGGUAGUGGGGGAUAACGUCCGGAAACGGGCGCUAAUACCGCAUACGUCCUGAGGGAGAAAGUGGGGGAUCUUCGGACCUCACGCUAUCAGAUGAGCCUAGGUCGGAUUAGCUAGUUGGUGGGGUAAAGGCCUACCAAGGCGACGAUCCGUAACUGGUCUGAGAGGAUGAUCAGUCACACUAGAACUGAGACACGGUCCAGACUCCUACGGGAGGCAGCAGUGGGGAAUAUUGGACAAUGGGCGAAAGCCUGAUCCAGCCAUGCCGCGUGUGUGAAGAAGGUCUUCGGAUUGUAAAGCACUUUAAGUUGGGAGGAAGGGCAGUAAGUUAAUACCUUGCUGUUUUGACGUUACCAACUGAAUAAGCACCGGCUAACUUCGUG
rnacentral:rRNA from 1 species